rnacentral:rRNA from 1 species
CAGUCGCCGCGGUAAUACGUAGGUGGCAAGCGUUGUCCGGAAUUAUUGGGCGUAAAGGGCUCGCAGGCGGUUUCUUAAGUCUGAUGUGAAAGCCCCCGGCUCAACCGGGGAGGGUCAUUGGAAACUGGGAAACUUGAGUGCAGAAGAGGAGAGUGGAAUUCCACGUGUAGCGGUGAAAUGCGUAGAGAUGUGGAGGAACACCAGUGGCGAAGGCGACUCUCUGGUCUGUAACAGACGCUGAGGAGCGAAAGCGUGGGGAGCGAACAGGAUUAGAUACCCCCGUAGUCCCUGUCUCUUAUAC